rnacentral:misc_RNA from 1 species
AUACCUUGCUCUCUCUACAGCCCGUUGACAUUGGUUCGAACACCAAUUUGCCAUUCCCAAGACAGGAACCAAUCAAAUGAAAUGCCCCAACUGUCAAAGGGCAACCAUUGAACUAAUCGAACUGACUCAAUGUGGACAGUGUUUGUCACUUGAUCCACACAUACAUAUAACAGCUCGUGCUUUCCAAUUCAUUCCCUAGCUGAAAACAGUUUUUCUAAAUUCAUUCAGGCAGAAGUAAGGAUCGUCCUUAUCUCAGUGAUCAACAAAUGAAUUGCUAUUGUCCAUACAAGAAUAGAAAUGAAAAAUCCAAGUCCUGAUGCUCAGAAACGGUGGCAUUCUAUGGCAAUGUGAAUUUAAUUUUUUUUUAGGAUUUGAAAACAUGUUGCAAACAACAAAAUUACAAGGAAGCCAUAGGCAUAUUACCCUAGGAAUCAAAGAAUAUUGAAAAAUAGAGCAAUAUUGGGUUUCAUGAUAAUUCACACGCAUCAAGCCAAAGAUGAAUACGCAUAUAAGGCGAACACUGCACAAAUUUUUUCUCCUCUGUUAGCGAGCCUGCAUCUCCAAUCUCUACAUUCUAUUCCCUGAACUAAAUGAUUGGAGCCAGGUAGGGGUCCAGUCCAACGUCCAAUGCAUUUAUCACAAGAUCUCAAGAAUCAGCUUAUAGUGACAUCAAUUUCUUGCUUACACAGCAAUUGGAGAUUCCUGCAUUCAAGAAAACAAAAACACACCUAUGCCAUUAGGAAAUGAAGCAACAAAGUCCUUGAGGAUGAUUGGUAUUGACUAUUGACAUUAGAUUUGUUAUGUUCAUGACAAGAAAAUUUUUUUGAGAAAUUAAAAAUUUGCAAACAGAAAAUAAUGAGGAGGAAAACAAUACAGGACGAUGCCAUAAGAAAAAUGAAAGAUCAACGUACUCAUGACACAUGUUAUAUUAGUGUCACGGUUCGUUCAGACCAACACAAUAAUGACAAUUAUAGUAGCAAUAAACUAAUGUUUGGGGGAGAGGAUAUGGGUUCAAGUUCCCAGGGACAUAUUUUGCAUCACAACUUACAACUAUUAACAAUAAAAAAAAUGAGACAAAAUAUUUACAAAACAAAUAAAGAAAAUAUAUCAGCCAACUUUUUCUUACAACUAGUGGUCAACGUUUCUCGCAUGACAAAACAAGACCACAACAAAUAAUUAAAGUACAUUUGAUAAUUUUAACCUAUGGAUAAUGUCUAAUGGUGCAAUGUGCCUAUGACAUGCUAAUUUGUAGCAGUAUUAAACCACAAUGAGAUGACAAAAAUUAUUUCCAUAUUUUCAGUAAAUAUGAUAAUAAAAUUGAAAAAAUAGAUGGCCAAAAGUUGAUAUUUGUGAUAUUAUUAGUGCCACUAAUGGAACAUACCUUGGCAGUUAAGUUUGAAACAGCUGAAUUCAACUUCUCCCGAGUUUUUGUACCAGCAACCUGACUGGCCCUUGCCACUUUACUAAAGGCACCAUUUAGCCAAGCUGUUCCAGCUGUCACAUAUCUGCUUGAUUUGACAGCUGAUCCUGUGUCGUUUAUCUUCCUUUCUGCUGCAAAUAUUGCUGCCAUGGUUUUAUCUGAAACAUGAAGCCUUUGGUCCACAGACUUCACUUUUUCAUUGACUGCUGAAAUUCCAACUGUCAAUUUCUCCGUGAGCCCAACUCUCCGAUCAAAGGACAUUACCUUGGCAGAUGCACUAGCAGUCAAGCGAUGUUUUUCAUCAAAUGCCUUGGCUUUAUUCACCGUAUCUUGGCGAAAAGCUGAACCUUUUGCCAGCAUGCUUGAAACUACUUCUUGUGCUCUAUUGACAUACAUUCUUCCAUUGCUAGGGGGACUAGUUUUAGCCUCAACAUUUGAUGGAACACUUUCAGAAAGAACAGCAGAUACAGCAUUGUCCACCCUUCUUACUUCCCGUAGCUCACAAUUUGGCACAUAAUUUUCUGCUGGAGUUAUACUCACUAUCUGGUCCACCAUAGUUGCUCCCGACAACAGCAAUGCAAUUUCAAGUGCUUUAUGAUCUUUGAAUGUAACAAAUGCAGUCUUUGAUAGCCCAUUUUCACGUUGGAUCUCAAUGUGCUCGAUUUCGCCAGAGAAAGAGAAGAACUCGUGAAUCUCUCUCUCACUAGCUAGAUCUGAUACAUGCUUCACUUGAACCGUUCUCGUCUUGAAGAGAAUAAAUUAAUAAAUCAAACAGAGAAAAAAAAUUUGCUGAAAGAAUAAGGAUUGAGCUUUUCUGUUGAUGGAUAUGAGAAACUAAGAACUGACCUGCAUUGCGAGCUCCUCUUGUGAAGGAGGUUAUCUCCUGCAAGGCUUGUGAGAGAAGGAGGGGAAUGAGAGAAGAGAAGAGUAUUACAAGGGAAAGCAACCUGACAACUAGAAAGAGAA